AAACCAGCACCUCAAGUGGUCAGGAUGAUUAUUGGGCCUAAAGCAUCCGUAGCCGGCUCUGUAAGUUUUCGGUUAAAUCUGUAUGCUCAACAUACAGGCUGCCGGGAAUACUGCAGAGCUAGGGAGUGGGAGAGGUAGACGGUACUCGGGAGGAAGUGGUAAAAUGCUUUGAUCUCUCGAUGACCACCUGUGGCGAAGGCGGUCUACCAGAACACGUUCGACGGUGAGGGAUGAAAGCUGGGGGAGCAAACCGGAUUAGAAACCCGAGUAGUCC
rnacentral:rRNA from 1 species